CUUCCCUUCUGCUAUAAGCCACAGGGUGCAGCCAGCAGCUGCAGAGUAUCAGUCCCUGAGGGCCAAUUAGAGGCUGAGAGUUUUUCUCUUAGUCUGUGCCUUCUAACAACUUGCUGAGGCAAGGAGUGGCAGUGACUUGAGGGUUAGCAAGAAUUCUUUGGAACCCUGGUGGACACCGGACCAUCCCAGCAGGGAGUGCCUGAGGAUUUCUACAAUCAACCUGAGGGUUGAGGAAAGCCGGUGCCUGCAGCUUGGAGUUGGGAGAAGGCAGUCCAACUAUCUGAGUUGAACUCUGGGAGAGAGCAGGAAAGGGUGCUGCUAAAGGGGCAAAGAGGAUUUGUGGGAGUGGUAAAGUCACCCAUAUGCAAAGAACAGUGCGCAGAGAAGGAGCUGCUGCUUUUGUUCCAUUCUACUUGCCUUGGCCUCAUCGUGAACCUUCCCACCUAAAGUGACUUAGAGGCUGUGUGCUUAAAUUCACAACCAUUCCAGCUUCAGUUGCAUGUAUCAUUGGUACUGUAAAUAGCAGCAUCUGUGAAUUUUAAAAGUCCUGUCAUUGCUACAUUACUUGAGGACUACAAGGCUAUAAGCCUGCAACACGUGCAGAUGAGACCAUGCUGCAUCACGGUAUUUCAGCAAACAUACGGUGUGAUCCACAGCAAGCUGGGUGUAUUUAAACUGAAAUCAAUGGUA